AUGGCCUCACAGUAUGGGGUAAAACUGGGAGCCUUGGCCAAGAGGGCAAGAGGAGAGGAGAGGUUAGAGGACUGGAGUCCGGUGGUGGAGUGCGGAGAUGAGAUUGAAUUAGAGAGGGGAGGAGUGAAUGACAAUCCUAUUGAGCAAGUCAGGCUAACUGUUUCGACCACCGAUGACCCUUCUCAACCAACCUGGACAUUUCGGACAUGGGUUCUUGGCCUUCUCUCAUGCUCCAUUCUUGCCUUUGUCAACCAGUUUUUCGGGUACCGCACGAACCAGCUCUAUGUGUGCUCAGUCUCAGCACAAAUUCUUGUCCUCCCUCUAGGGAAGUUGAUGGCUGCCACCCUCCCAACUAUUAAGUACCGGUUCCCCUUCACAAAUUGGACAUUUUCGAUGAAUCCAGGGCCUUUCAAUCUGAAAGAGCAUGUGCUGAUCACCAUAUUUGCUAACUCUGGAUCAAACAGUGUCUAUGCUGUGAACAUCAUCACAAUUGUUCUGGCUUUUUACAAAAGGAAACUGCAUCCUGCAUCAGCCUUCUUGUUAGCACAAACCACUCAGGUGCUUGGGUAUGGAUGGGCUGGCCUAUUCAGAAGAUACCUUGUUGACUCUCCUUACAUGUGGUGGCCUGCAAAUCUGGUUCAAGUCUCUCUAUACAGGGCAUUGCAUGAAAAGGAAAAGAGACCAAAGGGAGGCCGUACAAGGCUGCAGUCUUCUUCUUGGUGUUCAUAUGCAGCUUUGCUUACUACAUUGUUCCUGGUUACCUUUUCCCCUCCCUAUCUACUAUCUCCAUUGUUUGCUUGAUAUGGAAGAACUCCAUAACUGCUCAACAGAUUGGUUCUGGAGCCCAUGGACUUGGCAUUGGCUCGUUUGGACUUGAUUGGUCUACUGUUGCUGGUUUCUUAGGCAGUCCAUUGGCUACACCCGGAUUUGCUACCAUUAACAUCUUACUUGGUUUUGUUUUGAUUGUCUACAUUGUUACCCCAUUGCAUAUUGGAACAAUGCAUAUGUCAGUUAUGGACUGAGCUUUGCCACUCUCACUGCUACAAUUUCACAUGUUGCACUUUUCCAUGGAAAAUAAGCAGCAACAAUCUGGCAAAUGUGGAGAAAGACAGCUAGUGCAGUUAAAGAUCAAGUUGGUGACAUCCACACAAGGCUCAUGAAGAAGAACUAUGAAGCAGUCCCUCAAUGGUGGUUUCACAUCAUCCUUGUCUCAAUGGUUGGUCUUGCAAUUUUCGCUUGUGAAGGUUUUGGCAAACAGCUCCAACUUCCAUGGUGGGGAGUUCUAAUGGCUUGUGGCAUUGCAUUGUUCUUCACCUUACCCAUUGGCAUCAUUCAAGCAACAACAAAUCAGCAACCUGGGCUUAAUGUGAUCACAGAGUUGGUUAUCGGGUAUAUUUAUCCAGGUAGGCCUCUUGCAAAUGUCGCUUUCAAGACCUAUGGCUAUAUCAGCAUGUCACAAGCACUCAUGUUUCUCGGUGACUUUAAAUUGGGUCACUAUAUGAAGAUCCCUCCAAAGUCCAUGUUUAUUGUUCAGUUAGCUGGAACAGUAGUUGCUUCUAGUGUCUACUUUGCUACAUCUUGGUGGCUUCUCCAUUCCAUCGAAAACAUCUGCGAUGUCUCAUUGUUGCCUGAAGGAAGUCCAUGGACGUGUCUCGGGGAUGAUGUCUUCUACAAUGCUUCGAUCAUAUGGGGAGUUAUCGGUCCACUCAGAAUGUUCACAAAGAAAGGCAUCUACCCGGAGUUGAACUGGUUCUUCCUCAUCGGUUUAAUUGCACCUGUUCCAAUCUGGUUCUUUGCCAAGAAACUCCCAAACCAAAAGUGGAUUAGGCUCAUAAACAUGCCUAUCAUUCUUGGAGCAACAGGGUCUAUGCCUCCUGCAAGAUCUGUCAACUAUAUUACAUGGUUAGCAGUUGGAAUCUUCUUCAACUUUUAUGUGUACAGAAAGUUCAAGGGGUGGUGGGCUAGGCAUAACUACAUUCUAUCAGCUGCUUAGGCCUUCACAGGAGUUCUCUUAUAUUUCAUACUUCAGAGUAGGGAUAUCUUUGGGCCAGAUUGGUGGGGUUUGUUAGCUGAUGACCAUUGCCCAUUGGCAGCUUGCCCUACUGUACCAGGUCUAGUGGCCGAAGGGUGCCCAGUUCUAUGA